rnacentral:lncRNA from 1 species
GUUUGGAGACCAUAACUCAUUGGGUUUACGGUCGUAAACUCUUGAGUUUACUGCCGUAAACUCAUACUUAUUUGACCAUUUUGUGAUUUGAAGCCUUCUAAGUCAUUCUAAGUAUUCCUACAUUGAAGUAAUAGCCUAUGGAAGUGUUUGUGGCAUCAAAACACCCCUAAAUGGAGUUUACGGCCCGUAGACCAUUUCUCCAUGAUUUUGUUGCCGUAAACUCCUAUGGAACAUGGUUUUGUGAUGUUUUCAAGUCCUAAACACUUCAAGGUAAAAGUCUAGGCUUGAUUCAAGGCAUAAGAAAGGAAUAUGGGCCAUUUAUGAUCACUUUAGGGUGUUUACAGUUUUGGGGGAUCCCCAAACCGUAAACACCUAUAAAUGGGGUAACUUGUUGAUUUUUAUGUGCUAAACACAUCAAGGGAAGGUUCCAUACUCUAUCCCCAAACCGUAAACACCUAUAAAUGGGGUAACUUGUUGAUUUUUAUGUGCUAAACACUUCAAGGGAAGGUUCCAUACUCGAUUCUAAGCAUAAGGAAUGAGUUGGGAGCACUUUGGCACCCAAAUUAGGGUUUACGGUCCAAGAAGAUCUUGGGCCGUAAACUCCUUCUUCUUUUGAUUCAACAGUUUUUUCAAUCAUAUCUAAGUAUGUAAUACACACUAAUACUCUCUAGGGUUAAAGUACUUACAAUACGAAGCAAAAGAUUGAAGAUCCUUGGGAGAGAAUUCGGCUUUUCUCUACUUGAAAAUGGAAGAAAUGAACUAAAAUGGCUAAGUGUCCUUUAUAUAGUCCGUUGAUUUUUCGGUCAAAAUAUAUUAUUUGAGGCGUAAACUCCAAACUCGUGGAGUUUUGAAAUUUUCAAGAUGCACCAAAUACUGUAGGGCAUCCUCUCUCUUGCUAUCACCCGAAGUGUAAAUCCUAAAAUACUCAAACUUGUUCUAAAGAGUUUGAAACUUAGCAGUAACUGCUCUGACUUCUAUUGAUCCGACAUGUUUGUACAGAAUAGAAAUUUCGGGAUGUCACAUCAUCCCCCCGUUAGAAGGAAUUUCGUCCCGAAAUUAGGAUUUAAGUAAGGAAGUAGGCAUGAAUAAUCAAGUUAAGGAGGUGGGACAACUUCGUAAACGAUUGGUUCUCGUGCUCAGAAGUGAAACCGGGUCCUCGGUUGGUAUUCCAACAAACCAUCACCAAUGGGCGGCCGCGUUUCUUCGUCCGCUUGACCACUCAGUCGAGGGUCACUACGGUUCUUCCACGAAGGUGAGGAUCUCGUUGAUCUCGAUCUCGUUGAGUGGGAUUACGAGAGUCCUGACGGAAAGGUACGUAUUUCAAUUUCGAGAUGUGAAUGGUAAAAUGUACGCUACUGAGUUCGUGGCGUAGGUUGGGUUUGCGAGUUACAGGACCGAUUCUGGCAAGAAUCUUGGAGAUCCUAGCUCUCUUGGAUUUAGCUCUCCACGUUUUUCUGAAGCGUAUCAAGCCUUCCUAGGGUGAGGCUUCCAAAAGGAUUUUGUCUCACUUGGGAUUCCAAAGUUUCUCCCUCUUGCUUCUCUUCUCAGUCAAGGGCCACUCCCUUGUGAGUCAAAGUCGUAAGUGCUUCUGUAAUUCGCGAGGAGUUUUAAAUGAACUACGACAGUUGGCCUGCAAGACCUAGAAUUUGGCGAAAUUCUGUUGGUGUCUUCAGUGCCGACAAAUUCUCAACGAUUUUGAUAAAUUGAAAGAGUACUCAAGGAUUUCCACAUCACUAAUAGUGUGUCUUAGGAAUUUAACUCUUCAGUUUCAAAACUCGUAUUUAGAGAACUCCGUGCAAAGCUUCUCUGAUCGCCUUGUUUACAUGGUUUGUUGUAGAUUUCUCUUUAUGAUUUCCUUCUUACUACGAGAGUAGAUAAGUAAGUCAUUUACAAAGAGAAUGACGAACUGAUCCCAGUAAGAAUGGUGUACCCUAUUCAUUAAGCUCUUGAAUACUACGGGCGUAUUGGUCCUAUCCGAGGGGUAUCACUACGGAAUCGCAAUGUCCGCAUCGAGUUCGGAAGGUAGUCCCCGGUACAUCCUUCGCUAACACUCGAAACUGGCGAUAUUCGGAUCUCGGGUCCAUUUCUGAAAGGUACAUCUUUCUUUGCGGUUGGUCAACUGAUUCAUCUAUGCGAGGCAGAGGUAACGAUUUCUAAUGGAAAUCUUGACGGAGUCCUCGAUAGCCGAGGUACAUAUGAUGCAAUCUGUCAACUUCUGGAAGAAUAAGACCGGAGCUCUCCAGGGUGAGAAGCCUAGUCUUCCAAUUCUAUUGCUGAGUAGUUUGCUAAGUUUUCCGGACUGUUCUUGUAUCUCCAUAGGUGUUUAGACUGUAGGGCGAUCUGUUUACAGAAGUCGUACUGGGUUCUAAGUUUGUUCACAUGACGAUGCGAUUACUCGUAGCAUUGGGCAGUUCUUCAUCCUGAAGUUCAUAUUAGAAUUCAUACAUGGCUCAACGAUCACAAUCUCGUGUAUACGAGUCAUAUAUAAUUAAUAUUGAAAAUAUAUUCAAAUAACUGAUUCUUCUUUAAGCUCACAUCCCAUCGAGGAAAAAGAAGUUAAAGUGGAAUCAUCAAUUCUAAACCUGUAGAACCUUGAUUAUAUAUCACCCCUAUGUAUACAUUCUUCAGCGAUAGAUCAACCGUAUGGAUCUUUGGAUUGAACUUGACGUACUGUACGAGUGGUACUUCGGGGAUUUCUUCAGAAGGAAAAGAACUAUGAGGUACUCCAUGCAUGAGUACUUCGGUGUUNNNNNNNNNNNNNNNNNNNNNNNNNNNNNNNNNNNNNNNNNNNNNNNNUUUGUGCGGACAAAUUGAAUCUAGUCGUAUGAUAAUGUCGGAAUAAUAUGGGAACUAUAGACAUUAUAGACAAAACACAAUCGUGCAACCAUCAACCGAGGUACAGUACUUUAGAUUUACAACAAGACUAUCGCUGCGAACAAGGUAUACUACAAAAGGCAAGUAUACACAGCAUGAGGGUCCCUUAAUUGACGGGAUCUCGCAAAAGAUAAGACUCGAGUUGCACUAGCUUUAAACAUGUUUUAAGAGCAUACAAAAUACUGACGAUUGGAAGGGAACCUAUACUAUAGUAGGGUCCUUCGUUUCCUCUUUCCAUUCUGAGGUCAAACUCCUCCGGAUUCGUCGUCGUUCUUCCCUCUUGGGAAGUCCCUCUUGAAGUGUCCCAUGAUGCCACAUAGAUGGCAUAUCCGAGAGGUUUGGACAUUGGUGGUUGAAGUAAUGUGUCGGAUCUGGGUCCUGUAGCAGCUGGUAGUAUGUCCAUUCUUGUUGCACUUAAAGCAGUGUAACGGACGACAACUACCCAAAUGAUGAAAGCUACACUCAUAGCAUUUCGGUAGGUUUCCGGCAUAUUGCCUGGUUGGUGUAGGGACAAUUGGGAUACCAUAAGGAAUGGUAGUCUGAGGUACAGAUGUCGUAGCCGUGAAUUUCGUUACCAGUGGUUGUUUCUUGUUCGACCCUCGUAGUGAUUUGUCCUUAGUUUUAGCCCAAAACAUCCGUUUGUUACUCUUGGUCUUGGAACUCGGGGUGUCGUGGUAGUUUGUUACUCGUUGAGGUACUUGAUUGUUACCUGGAUUGGAAUUGUUGUUAACCAUCCCGCUAACAUUCACGUUGUUAGCGUUAAGGUGGGUCAGAAUAGCUGACACGGCAGCCGAGACUGCAACUUGAAAGGUAGCCGCAUCAAUUUGAAGAGUUGGUGUUUGGUUGUUGGGUUGAUUGUUUUUCUUCGGCGACAUGAUUUUGUUACACGGAAGAAAGUGAAUUUGUGAGCGAGUAUGAUUGAACCUAGACGUAGUUCGAUCAUUCAUGUAAAGAAUAGAAGCAUGUUCUCGUGGGUUCGACCUACAUCCCUAUGAUGCAGUCCUAGCAAAGAGUGGAAGUAAGUUCGUACAAUGGUCUAAAGACGUUUGUCGUUCAAGCCGAGGCAUCAUUGGUUGGUGAAUAACAUGAUCCAACCCUUGAAAGAGGCUUGAAAAUGAUUCUGGAGUUAAAUUACUAUAGUCCAAAGACUUGACUAAAACAAGUUUCAGAUAGACUCCAAUAAAGGUAUGAUGAGAGUAUUUGAACAAAAACGUGACACGGAAGUUAGCCGACUGUCAACAUCAUCGAUGUUUAAGAUGUAAUAAGUUCAAGGAAAUUUGACCUUGAAAAAGGUCUUACAUCAUAUCUGGAGUAGCAAAAGUUUUGGCCGCAUAAAGGCCUAACUAAAAGUACCUACAGUACAAGGCAGUUCCAUAGAAAAUGCCACAUAUGACAUAGACAGGAAAACGGUUCUUUAAAACAAGAAGGAAAAUAAAGUAUCCCCUAUUGGUGACGAUCAUUCCUCUGGUGAACUCUUAGCUCAGCCAGUUGAAGUUCCAUAUCAAGCUGGUGUCUUUCAUACACCCUCUGGCGUACUCGGAGUUCUAUGACUUCGGCUCGUGAUUCAGCCAGUGCUUGAAGCAGGGUUUCAUGGUCUCUUUCAGAUCUCUCACAAGCAUCUUCCAAAUGAGUGGUGCGAAGGGUAUGCAUUCUCGCGUUGGUGACAACUUCGGUGAUCUGAUGUAGGGCUGUCCUGCCUUGAAUCUCAUUUCGGGCCACUCUGCGGACCAAGAUUGGCAAGAUUCUGUUUGCUGAGCCCCCAUUUCUCAGGUCAUAAAAACUUCGGUCACCAUUAAAUGGCAUGGGCUGAUCUUGUCCUUGGCUCCAUGUUUCCAACCAUUCUACCCAAGGAGGCCUCGGGCCAUGAAAAGUCGGACGAGGGUUAGGAUUUGGAAUGGGAGCUGCCUGGGGUAGGUUCUCAACUUCGAGUUAGGAGUUGUCAUCAUCCACGAGGUCUUCAGUGUGGUGAUCAUUCAAAGGAAUCGGAUGAUCAUUCUCUAGUUCUUCUCCAAACCAUCCAGAAAUGACUUCGUUCGGAAGGUACGGGUCGUCGUUGGGAUGGAGUCCAGCCAUGUUAUGUAUGCGAGAAUUGGGGUAAGGAAAUAAUUAUUAGACGAACUAUCUAGAUAAUUAUUAGAAAAUCUUCAAUAGUUACAUUGCUAUAUGUAAAGUGCAUACCAGUCAUAUGUAAUCAACACAGGAUAGGCCUUCAAAUAAGCGACCUUAACUCCAAAUUCACAAGGAAUAGGGGUAAAGCAAAAAUUUCACAGAUUCUAAGUCUAUAACAUCCUAGUUACAUAUAGCCUUAGUGUAUCCACUUAGAAACUUUCAACUUAGUAAUGAAGAUCCUUUUUAGUUCUCAAGUAAGUAAUCAUAGUAACACAAAACAACCCUAUGGUAUUUUAGACUUAGGUUCUGUUAUAAUGUUCUUAUUGUGGUAAUGUUGGUAAGUUUUUAGACUUGUUCCCAUAUCACAACCAUUCUUGGGCAUAUGCUAAUCACUCCUCGGACCAUCAUAGUUGAUCAGGCUAUGCCACUCCCAAGACUGACCAUACAUCCCCAGGCUUACUUGUGAUAUUCAACAAUAAUAAUACUUUUGUUCUUGUCGUUGUGACACCGAUUUUAGCAUGAAUGCAGGCACGUAUACUUUGUUAAAUAUUUUAUUAUUUAAAAGUAUAAACUCCUAGACAGAGUGUUUUUAAUCCCAAAGUACUUAUAGUUAAUAUAUCUUUUAUGGGUUGAUAUACUUAAUUCACUAUAAACAAUGCUCUGAUACCAAUCUGUCGCACCCCAAAACCGAGAACGGCGGAAACGUUCAGGGGUGGAGGACGUCAUGUAAUGUAUCACAACAAUGCAAAGUAGUAAAUAAGCAACAACAUCAUCCAUUGCAUUAAUAGUAUAAUUUUAAUUACAAGAGUGUUCUUUCAUAAUAUAAGACAACAAAAUGAAUCAUCAAAAUAUAAGACGAGUCUGCACUACUCCGUCUUCACAAUACCUGGUCGUCGUACCUGUCUAUUUGUGACCUGAGAAUAUAAGUUAUUUUGAAAGCGAGUAUCAGCCAAAAAGCUGAUGAAUUCAUAAGUAUUUAAUGUGUCUUUGAUUUGUAAAACUUGUAAUGAAAGACUUGACAUUAUUCUAAAAGAAAAUUCGUAUUACUCUGUUUUGGAAAGCUGUUAUCAAUGCCAUGUAAAGUUUUGAUUGAAACAUUUGAUAUAAGUGUCAAAAUGUUUGUAAGUAAUUGAAAGCGUUUGAAUGACCCUAGAAAUCCCUAUGAUCCCUAUAAAAGAAGUAUUCUACCAACACCCUACUGUUUUGAAAGUAAGUAUCUCUGUACACGUGAGGGUUUUUCCCUGUUUAACUAUUAGUAUAAAACUAUAGUAUACCUCAUCGUUUAUGUGUAUGAGUCACAAUAUAAAGGUAAUAAGGAAAAUAGUUAUCUAUAUCGAAUAAAUCCUACCUCUUCGUUCAUGUGAAUGUGUCACAAAGUAAAGGAAGAAAAUAACAUAAUAACUUAAGUACUAUACUUUUGUACUAGGAUAACUAACAAUGUUAACUUAAGACAUCCGUAGAUGUACAUUUACCUCUGUUGCUAACACCUGGGUGUAGGAAUAGUUAGUCCCUUAAAGUAUACCUGUAAUGGUAUCAACCUAAGAGAUCCGUAUAUGUGCAUUUACCUCUGUAGCUAACAGGGGUGAUAGGAAUGGUUAUUCCCGCAAAGUAUCCUUUGGAAUGAGGAUAUAAAGUCCAAUCAAUCUCGUCGAUUAUGUGAUUGAAUCACAUAUUAAAGAUAAGGAGGAGAAUUAUAUAACAAUAUCUAUACAUCUAAUAUGUAAUAGUAACUCAUCAUAUAUUAUCUACGUAAAAGUAAUCAUGUAAACAUACUCAUGUAAGCGUAUCCAUGUAAAUGUACUCAUGUAAGCGUAUCCAUGUAAAUGUAAUCAUGUAAGCGUAUCUAUGUAAAUGUACUCAUGUAAGCGUAUAUAUGUAAAUGUACUCAUGUAAGCGUAUAUAUGUAAAUCUACUCAUGUAAGCGUAUCUAUGUUAAUGUACUCAUGUAAGCGUAUCUAUGUAAAUGUACUCAUGUAUCAUGUAAUAUACUAGUAUAGACUCAUGCAUGAACUGACUCUUGUGUGAUUCCUUGUACUUGGAAUGGUAAGUGGUAUCUCCUAACUAUACCUAUAAUAGUUACUAACCAUGUACGUGUAUAACCUAAAGUAUGCCUUUGCUACCCAAAGGUACUGAACUGACUGAGGAUAAACUUUUAUGUCUCUAUAGGUAUACAUGAUAUAUAACUGAUAGUUAAACGACCUUCGGACGGAUACCUGGUACCUUACCAAACCACAUCCCAACGGGGAAAAAGAAAUAAAGCGGGUUAGGCUUCCUAAGUCUUUUAAACAUUAUUUAUAUAACUAUACAUAUACAGGCAUGCAAUUUACAAUAUAAAAUCAUAUAAGGAGUUUUAUAAAACCUUUGAAAAAGAUUAAUACCUAAGAACAGUUCGACUUGAUGUCAGUUUAUAAAACGAUUUGAAAGUAUUUGUUUGACAAAAACGGUUUAAGUAUAAAGGAAACUUUGUUUGAAACACAAAUGUAACAGGGUUUGAAAUGAACAUAAAGUGUUUAAUAAACAGUUUAAUAAAGUGUUUUAAACAGCUAAAAACAUUUAAGAUAAACAUUUGAAGAAAUCUGAUUGGUAAAAUAGUUAACGUAUAGUAAAACCAUUCACAUGUUAGUUAUUAAUCACAUGUGAUUGAUAUAAUAACUAAACAUGAUUCAACUUGUAUCCCCCCCCCCCUCAUAAAGCAUUUAUAAACACUUAUGAACAUUUAAAAGGUUAAUUCAAGGGGUAUGAACUCACCUGUAGAUGGUGGUUUGGAUGAAUUGAAGAUGUAGGAUUGCUUGGUGUCAAGUGAAGACUUGAACACGCUCUAUGAUCCUAGUUAACAUAUAAUGUUACAUAUAUGUAUCCAAUUAGUAGUUAAACAACUAAUAAACAAAGUUAAGACACACUAGGAUAUGCUAAACACCUCAUACAAGUGUUAUAAGUCCCUAGGAUUGCUUCCAAGUGUUGUAAGGAAAGGCUAUCGAGCUUAGGGUUCAAGGUAACCCUCUUUGUGAGUUUACGNAGACAAUAACUCAUUGGGUUUACGGUCGUAAACUCUUGAGUUUACUACCGUAAACUUAUACUUCUUUGACCAUUUUGUGAUUUGAAUCCUUCUAAGUCAUUCUAAGUAUUCCUACAUUGAAGUAAUAGCCUAUGGGAGUGUUUGUGGCAUCAAAACACCCCUAAAUGGAGUUUACGGCCCAUGCGUUUGCUGCCGUAAACUCCUAUGGAACAUGGUUUUGUGAUGUUUUCAAGUCCUAAACACUUCAAGGUAAAAGUCAAGGCUUGAUUCAAGGCAUAAGGAAGGAAUAUGGGCCAUUUAUGAUCACUUUAGGGUGUUUACGGUUUUGGGAGAUCCCAAAACCGUAAACACCUAUAAAUGGGGUAACUUGUUGAUUUUUAUGUGCUAAACACAUCAAGGGAAGGUUCCAUACUCGAUUCUAAGCAUAAGGAAAGAGUUGGGAGCACUUUGGCACCCAAAUUAGGGUUUACGGUCCAAGAAGAUCUUGGGCCGU